rnacentral:rRNA from 1 species
UACGUAGGGGGCGAGCGUUGUCCGGAUUUAUUGGGCGUAAAGAGCGUGUAGGCGGCCAGGUAGGUCUGCUGUGAAAACUCGAGGCUCAACCUCGAGACGUCGGCGGAAACCAUCUGGCUAGAGUCCGGAAGAGGAGAGUGGAAUUCCUGGUGUAGCGGUGAAAUGCGCAGAUAUCAGGAGGAACACCGGUGGCGAAGGCGGGUCUCUGGGCCGAUGACUGACGCUGAGGAGCGAAAGCGUGGGGAGCGAACAGG